GCCGAGGCGCGGGGCGGAGCCUGAGACUUUGUAAACAACUCCCACGCUGCUUUUAAGCGCGUCGGCUGUAUUUACUACGGGAGGGCGCGACGGUGCUGCUGCCAAACAGGUAUGGGGUGCCGUCACUGGGGUGAACACAAGACUGGAGGAGGAUCUGAGAAGAGCUUACAGUGAGUGCCAGCUGGGCUCUGCUGCUGCUGCUGUUGUACAGUGCACGCUACUUCAGAGAAGUCAACCUCACUGCACUCCAUCCGCCCCAUUGAGCCGCCAGCGCUGGCAAUCAAUUCUGAGCCUUGUGCUGUCGCUGAUGGCCUCUGGACACGGCAGCUGGGUGCAGGAAGACAAGCGCUCUUCCACGGGAGUCUGUCCCCCGAUCAGCUGCAGCCAGCUGUCCGGCAACAGCGCGCCGCCAUUCAGAGCGGCAGCCGCCGCCGCUGCUGCCGCUGUUGCCGCUGCUGCCGGUGGAGCGAGACCUCCUUUACUGCCGUCACCGCCGCUGCCAAGUCCCCUUUCAACGUACUUUUUUUUUUUUUUUACCCCCUUCUUCCUUCCAAAGUUUUCAACCGUACGGACUCGCGACCCUUGAGCCUCGCGACAGGCCUCGUAUGUCUGUCUGGGCCGUCUCCCAGUCGCUUUCUUCACCCCGAGUCAAAUUGUCCAUCUGUCUCCGCUUUUACCAACUUUUUCCUCCGCUAAUUUCCACCUCGCUUUCUCUCUCGCCCAGUCUUCCCUCCCGUACCCAUCCCUCUUUUUCCUUCUUUGUUGGUUACCAUGUCUCAGUUUCUCCGCUCCUUUCUCUCCCCUUUUUUUUUUCGUUUGCCACUCGCUCUUAUUUCCGCACAAAUUCCAUCUCAUUCUUUGUCGCAAUCCAACCCCCCCCCCCCCCCCCCCCCCCCCCCACAAAAUGUCACAAUACUGUAUCUUUUCUUCCCCCUUUUCUUUCGAGUAACUUCUUCUUCUGUCCCCCUUUUUCUCAUUUUUCUCUUUUUACAGGUGUAAGGCGGGAUUUACAUUUUCUCAGGACAGGCACCCGUGAAGAGAAGCCUGCUGGCAGAUCAAAGGCUCCGGCUGUAAAACGAUCUGAAAGAGUCCGGCUUUAGCAUCCAUCAGGGUACCUUGAAAGCUCCCUGGUCAGCCGAGAGGGAAGCUGAGGGCCCCUGUAGGAUAUUAGAAACAAAUAUACGACCCGGUUCAUAAAAUUAAUAAAAAUGCAUAUAGUGUACACCAGAAUACAGCCAUGAUUCUGAAACUGUAAUCAAUAAAGUAAUGACAAUAUUGUAAAACCACUGUAAUUCUGCAACUGCAAUAGAAUAAUACCAAUGCAGUUAUGAUUGUAUUUGAUGUAAUGUAAUCAACUGGAAUGCAUGCAUGUAAUACUUGCACAACAACUGAUAUUGACUAAGGAUCAUUCGAAAUCCGAGUUACAUUGAACUCACCAGAAGACCACUCCCAGAGGUGUGGACACUAACUUUCACACCUUUAAGCAUUGUUAUAAAUACCUUGUAGGAACCAUUGUUCUGGAGUUCGCUGGUGGAGGCGACAGACGGCACUAGGGAUGGUCAAAAGGACUGACCUGGGGCCUGUUGGUUGCCAGCGUCUCCUCAGCUGAGAUGUUCUUUUUACCACAACACCAUCUCUUUUAUUAAAUACAUUUGAUUUUAACCUUUUGAUCAGCGAUGACCUCUGUCCGUCUGGCGUUUCUUCAUUUUUGAACACAACACCCCCCAAAGUGAAGAGGGGGUGGGGGGUGAUGGAGGGGCGGAGGGACAGUAGAAGGUGGGUGGAGAGAGAGAGAGAGAGAGAGAGAGAGAGGCUUCUUGGAGGGAGGAAAAUUCCCAUAACAAGCUGCAUGUUUUCACUUUUCUUUUGGAUUCAGCCCCCUCAUCCCUUCCUUCAGCUUUAACCUUCUAUCCAGCAAACUUGAGUUGAGGCUGUAAGGGGAGAACCUCUCCAUCUGUGCACCAUCUCCACUCCGCUCACCAAAACCCAGACUUUUACUACUCCACCCUGCAGUCUUCACACAGGGUCAAGUCUGGUCGGGGGGGGGGGGGGGGGGGGGGG
ensembl:lncRNA